CAAAUAUUUCGGCUCAACAAAUGGCCUUCUUCAAGUGUCACAAGUUUUAACAAACUUUGCAAAAAUGAAGAAAAGGAAAAAACAUCCUUAAGAAGAGGAAGAAGAAGAUAAAAACAAGAACUUCAAUUUAACUGUUAUCAUUUCCUUAGUCCGAAAUCGACGUCGACGAGAACAGCAGUUCUUAAGGAUGUUUUUUCCUUUUCUUCAUUACGACAUUUAUUUUACCAUAUAACAAAAAGUUAUAUA
rnacentral:lncRNA from 1 species